UGUUCCUCGUCAUGUCAUUAGUGUCUGUGUAUUUAGUCUCUGUGUUCCCCUCACUCCUUGUCUGGUCAUUGUUUCUGUUUGUUGUGUUCUGUCUUGUGAUUACUCCUGUUCCUGCUCCUCGCUCUCGUCCAUGCUCCUGUCACGUUUGGGUGCCAUCAAUCACACACUGCGGUGCACAUUUUGGAAAAACAACGCAUGCAGCUGUUGCGCUCCCAGAAGCUCUCGCCGUUUGGUCCCGGACGCAGUGAUUGGUGACAGCGAGGGGUCUUGGGAGAGUAAAGUGGGCGUGACUGCGGACACAGUUUCUCCUGUUUAUUGUCGCUGGCUGUCUUAACUGCGGACAAAACUGUUUUCAUCUCUGUAAUUGUGUUCGUUCGGAACAAAGCAGGCUGUUGGGAAAUAGACCUUAAUUAAUGCCUAAUGGUAAUGCGAA